rfam:Ailuropoda melanoleuca scaffold2623_43, whole genome shotgun sequence.
CCUAAGGCUUUAAUCAAAGCCAUAGUUUUAAAAAUAAAUAACCUGG